CUUAUGGCAAAAAAUAAAACAGAGGAAGACUGAGAAAGGCAGAAGAGAAAGGCUCCUAGAUGCGGCCUUUUUCAUGGGUGGGUCACCACUGAGGGAAUGUUUCCUCCUUAACAGAAAUGACCGCGUAAAGCUGAAACCUUCAGGAUGGGAAAGAACAACCAUGCGUGGCAGGGGAAGGCGGGGAGCAGCUGAAGAUCCUAGAGAUGUUGAAGAUUAGAAAGAAGGUGAAAGAGAAGGAGGGAAAGGAGAAGACGAUGAAGACACAGGGAUCAAGUCCAUGGCAUAAAUAAUGAAGCAAGAAGGCACUCAUCAGAUACAGAACCCCUCCAUCUUGGAUUUCCCAGCCACCAGAGCCAUGAGCCAAAUAAAUAUGUGUUCAUUAUAAAU